GUCGGGGUAGCUGCUGCCGUAGCUCCGCAUCAUGGGGCUGGGGGAUGUGAGAAGCUGGUUCAAGGUAAGCACGUUUUCAAAUAUCAAAAUGGAUAAAUAGGAGAUUCAAUCAUAAUGGUAGAGAAAAGCGCAGCAUAUCAAGAAAGAUGCUGUCACGAGUAGCAACUCGGCUACAAGAUUGGAACUAAGAGGCUAUAAAAUUGAGGCCCUCAGCACAAUGAAAUCAGUCUGCUAUAAAAGGCAACACAUGCCAGUUUUUCCUCCCCAAUGGCAGAUGCCACACCCUAAAGCAGACAGAAGGCACUGCAGUCUGUGCAAGGGAAGCACAACACAAAGCAACAACGAUGGUUCAAUUUUUUAGAGCGCAAAUAAUGUUGAAAUUCCUUUUGCCAUCUUUGCUCAGAUGAUGAGUGGUAGUGUUUGUUAAAUUCAAAUGCUCCUUUCCAAAAGCUCUCAUUGUAUGCAUGAAUUAUGAAUUUAUUAUAAUAUAAUGUAAAAAAGCUCUAAUUGCCAUGCAUAUUAUCUGCUGCAAAGUGAUUGCAUUGAUAUUUGAUAUCGCAAGUGCGCAGUUUCAACUUUAGUUCUAUUUUCAUUGUUCCUUCAAUUUAAUUAUUUUCUAUAAACCAAUGUUGUCCGAGUGUAGUUUCUUUCUUUUGAUUUUUCCUGAUAAAUUAUAAACUGUGGUGCUCCAGGAUCCCUCAUCAAAAUAAACAACAUAAUUUUCUAAA